AUGAGUUGGUCUAGUUUUGCAAGUUUGGGACUAGAUCAUCACAUUGGGUGCAAGUUAGGGUACCUGGGGUGCUAUUACCUCAAAUCAGAAAAUACCCUAUACAUGAGACGUGCCCAGCCAUCGCAGCUGAUGAGCGGGACAGGGAGCAGCACUGGACCACCUGUCAUUACAAAACACAAGCGCGGGCGCAAAAGCCAGUUGCACAUGCGCCGACUAACACUUCCGCGGCUCCCGAGGACGCAAAGCGCGCCCAUGCGGCGCGGUUGGUUUGGCUGCCCCACGGACCCAACAAACUGGCACCCAGCCAAUCGAAUCCAUCGCAAGCCCACAGGUCAUCCAACGCCCAAGAUCUACUGCCCGGUCAAAACGCACAAGUCAAUCUGCAGCGAACAUCCAACGGACAGGAAUGAGAAAAAGACCACGUUGACCCAAAAUGAACGGCUAGCGAAGGAUGAAUCCGGGGGAGCGCCCUGGGAGCGAGUUGCCCAGCCUCAUUAUUGGUUUAAAUAA
rnacentral:rRNA from 1 species